CGAGCGGCGAACGGGUGAGUAACACGUGGGUGAUCUGCCUUGCACUUCGGGAUAAGCCUGGGAAACUGGGUCUAAUACCGGAUAUGACCUUCCAGUGCAUGCUGGUUGGUGGAAAGAUUUAUCGGUGCGAGAUGGGCCCGCGGCCUAUCAGCUUGUUGGUGAGGUAACGGCUCACCAAGGCGACGACGGGUAGCCGACCUGAGAGGGUGACCGGCCACACUGGGACUGAGACACGGCCCAGACUCCUACGGGAGGCAGCAGUGGGGAAUAUUGCACAAUGGGCGAAAGCCUGAUGCAGCGACGCCGCGUGCGGGAUGACGGCCUUCGGGUUGUAAACCGCUUUUGACAGGGACGAAGCGCAAGUGACUGUACCUGUAGAAUAAGGACCGGCCAACUACGUGCCAGCAGCCGCGGUAAUACGUAGGGUCCGAGCGUUGUCCGGAAUUACUGGGCGUAAAGAGCUUGUAGGCGGUUCGUCGCGUCGUUUGUGAAAACUUGGGGCUCAACCUUAAGCUUGCAGGCGAUACGGGCGGACUAGAGUACUUCAGGGGAGACUGGAAUUCCUGGUGUAGCGGUGAAAUGCGCAGAUAUCAGGAGGAACACCGGUGGCGAAGGCGGGUCUCUGGGAAGUAACUGACGCUGAGAAGCGAAAGCAUGGGUAGCAAACAGGAUUAGAUACCCUGGUAGUCCAUGCCGUAAACGGUGGGUACUAGGUGUGGGGCUCCUUCCACGGACUCCGUGCCGUAGCUAACGCAUUAAGUACCCCGCCUGGGGAGUACGGCCGCAAGGCUAAAACUCAAAGAAAUUGACGGGGGCCCGCACAAGCGGCGGAGCAUGUGGAUUAAUUCGAUGCAACGCGAAGAACCUUACCUGGGUUUGACAUACACCAGAAAGCCGUAGAGAUACGGCCCCCCUUGUGGUUGGUGUACAGGUGGUGCAUGGCUGUCGUCAGCUCGUGUCGUGAGAUGUUGGGUUAAGUCCCGCAACGAGCGCAACCCUUAUCUUAUGUUGCCAGCGCGUAAUGGCGGGGACUCGUGAGAGACUGCCGGGGUCAACUCGGAGGAAGGUGGGGACGACGUCAAGUCAUCAUGCCCCUUAUGUCCAGGGCUUCACACAUGCUACAAUGGCCGGUACAGAGGGCUGCGAUACCGUGAGGUGGAGCGAAUCCCUUAAAGCCGGUCUCAGUUCGGAUCGGGGUCUGCAACUCGACCCCGUGAAGUUGGAGUCGCUAGUAAUCGCAGAUC
rnacentral:rRNA from 1 species